ACGAUUAAGUGUCGUAAGGGCAUUUGGUGGAUGCCUUGGCAUGCACAGGCGAAGAAGGACGUGAUACGCUGCGAAAAGCCGUGGGGAGCUGCGAAUAAGCUUUGAUCCAUGGAUCUCCGAAUGGGGCAACCCACCUUAAAUGCUUGGAAAAUUUAAGUCGUGCUUUUGUACGGCUUAGGUUUCCAAGCAUUGUUAUAAGGUAUCUAACCUUCGAAUACAUAGGGGUUAGAAGCGAACUCAGGGAACUGAAACAUCUAAGUACCUGAAGGAAAGGACAUCAACCGAGACUCCGCAAGUAGUGGCGAGCGAACGCGGACCAGGCCAGUGGCAAUGUUGAAUAAAGCUGAACAGGUUGGAAAGCCUGACUAUAGUGGGUGAUAGUCCCGUAAGCGUAGAACAGACAUUGUCCUUGAGUAGGGCGGGACACGUGAAAUCCUGUCUGAACAUGGGGAGACCACUCUCCAAGCCUAAGUACUCGUGCAUGACCGAUAGCGAACAAGUACCGUGAGGGAAAGGUGAAAAGCACCCCGACAAGGGGAGUGAAAUAGAACCUGAAACCGGAUGCCUACAAGCAGUCGGAGGGCGCAAGCCUGACGGCGUACCUUUUGUAUAAUGGGUCAACGACUUAGUGUAUCUAGCAAGCUUAAGCCGGUAGGUGUAGGCGCAGCGAAAGCGAGUCUGAAUAGGGCGAUUUAGUUAGAUGCAUUAGACCCGAAACCGAGUGAUCUAGCCAUGAGCAGGUUGAAGGUUGGGUAACACCAACUGGAGGACCGAACCCGCAUCUGUUGCAAUAGAUUGGGAUGACUUGUGGCUAGGGGUGAAAGGCCAAUCAAACUCGGAGAUAGCUGGUUCUCCGCGAAAUCUAUUUAGGUAGAGCGUCGACCGAAUACCCCAGGGGGUAGAGCACUGGAUGGGCUAUGGGGACUCACCGUCUUACUGAUCCUAACCAAACUCCGAAUACCUGGGAGUACUAGUCGGCAGACACACGGCGGGUGCUAACGUCCGUCGUGAAGAGGGCAACAACCCUGACCUCCAGCUAAGGUCCCCAAGUCAUGGCUAAGUGGGAAAGGAUGUGAGGAUCCCAAAACAACCAGGAUGUUGGCUUAGAAGCAGCCAUCAUUUAAAGAAAGCGUAACAGCUCACUGGUCUAAAUAAGGGUCUUUGCGCCGAAAAUGUAACGGGGCUAAAGCCAUGCACCGAAGCUGAGGAU
rnacentral:rRNA from 1 species